CAAAUUUCCCAUCCCCACGUGCAGAGGGAGGGGCUGCCUCGUUUCACAGCAAAAUGACACAAACCCUGAGCUGGGGCAGGGGGAAAACCUCAGGUUCCUUCUCAGGUGGAGAAAUAAAAAUAAACCCAUCCUGGAGAACCCUCUGUGCAGCAGAACCCCCCCAGGUACAUCAUGGCAGGGAAACCCAGGAGUGGGAAAGCUUUUCCAAGGAGGCUUCUCUUCCGGUACAGAUGAUG